UACGUAGGUGGCAAGCGUUGUCCGGAUUUACUGGGCGUAAAGGGUGUGCAGGCGGGCGGUCAAGUGGCGUAUGAAAUAUCCCGGCUCAACCGGGAAAGGUUAUGCCAGACUGGCCGUCUUGAGUGCGAGAGAGGGGCGUGGAAUUCCGGGUGUAGUGGUGAAAUGCGUAGAGAUCCGGAGGAACCCCAGAGGCGAAGGCGGCGCCCUGGCUCGCAACUGACGCUCAUACACGACAGCAUGGGGAGCGAACGGG
rnacentral:rRNA from 1 species